GUGGGGAAUUUUGGACAAUGGGCGCAAGCCUGAUCCAGCCAUUCCGCGUGCAGGAUGAAGGCCUUCGGGUUGUAAACUGCUUUUGUACGGAACGAAAAGCCUCUGGUUAAUACCCGGGGGUCAUGACGGUACCGUAAGAAUAAGCACCGGCUAACUACGUGCCAGCAGCCGCGGUAAUACGUAGGGUGCGAGCGUUAAUCGGAAUUACUGGGCGUAAAGCGUGCGCAGGCGGUGAUGUAAGACAGUUGUGAAAUCCCCGGGCUCAACCUGGGAACUGCAUCUGUGACUGCAUUGCUGGAGUGCGGCAGAGGGGGAUGGAAUUCCGCGUGUAGCAGUGAAAUGCGUAGAUAUGCGGAGGAACACCGAUGGCGAAGGCAAUCCCCUGGGCCUGCACUGACGCUCAUGCACGAAAGCGUGGGGAGCAAACAGGAUUAGAAACCCCAGUAGUCC
rnacentral:rRNA from 1 species